rnacentral:rRNA from 1 species
AUUGAACGCUGGCGGCAUGCUUUACACAUGCAAGUCGAACGGUAACAGGCCGCAAGGUGCUGACGAGUGGCGAACGGGUGAGUAAUGCAUCGGAACGUGCCCAGUCGUGGGGGAUAACUACUCGAAAGAGUAGCUAAUACCGCAUACGAUCUAUGGAUGAGAGCGGGGGACCGUAAGGCCUCGCGCGAUUGGAGCGGCCGAUGUCAGAUUAGGUAGUUGGUGGGGUAAAGGCUCACCAAGCCAAGGAUCUGUAGCUGGUCUGAGAGGACGACCAGCCACACUGGGACUGAGACACGGCCCAGACUCCUACGGGAGGCAGCAGUGGGGAAUUUUGGACAAUGGGCGCAAGCCUGAUCCAGCAAUGCCGCGUGCAGGAAGAAGGCCUUCGGGUUGUAAACUGCUUUUGUACGGAACGAAACGGCUCUGGUUAAUACCCGGGGCUAAUGACGGUACCGGAAGAAUAAGCACCGGCUAACUACGUG